rnacentral:rRNA from 1 species
UACGUAGGGGGCAAGCGUUGUCCGGAUUUACUGGGCGUAAAGAGCGUGUAGGCGGCCAAGCAGGUCCGUUGUGAAAACUCGAGGCUCAACCUCGAGAUGUCGGCGGAAACCACUUGGCUAGAGUCCGGAAGAGGAGAGUGGAAUUCCUGGUGUAGCGGUGAAAUGCGCAGAUAUCAGGAAGAACACCUAUGGCGAAGGCAGCUCUCUGGGACGGUACUGACGCUGAGACGCGAAGCGUGGG